rnacentral:rRNA from 1 species
UACGUAGGGGGCAAGCGUUGUCCGGAUUUAUUGGGCGUAAAGAGCGUGUAGGCGGCUUUGCAAGUCCGUUGUGAAAACUCGAGGCUCAACCUCGAGACGCCGGUGGAAACUGCAAAGCUAGAGUCCGGAAGAGGAGAGUGGAAUUCCUGGUGUAGCGGUGAAAUGCGCAGAUAUCAGGAAGAACACCCGUGGCGAAGGCGGUUCUCUGGACAGUUCCUGACGCUGAGGCACGAAGGCCAGGGGAGCAAACGGG